AAAGAGAGUUGGGAAAAGGCCGGAACGCAUUAAUGGGCCAUUUAAGAACUGCCUGCCUCCUAAACCUAUUUUCAGACUGUGAAGCAGGAAGGCAGUGAGGCAUGGUAAAGGGCACUAAUUUGAAGUCAGAAGACCUGGGCUGUGCCAAUGACUCAUUGUAAUCUUGGGAAAGUCCUUUCCCUUCUCUAGACAUCAGGGUCUCAUUCACACUGGGUAAAGGGGUGGGGGUGGAAAGCAGGAAUUAGACUUGAUAACUACUAAAGGCCCUUUUAGAUUUGACAUUUUAGGCUUAAUUAUAACUCCACCUUCCACACCCAGGUGUGGAAUUAUAACUCCACCUCCCACAAUCUCCAGGAUGCACCAAAGGACCUAACUGGACCAAACCUCCGAGUUCUUGACUACAGCAUUCCACAUGAAUGGGAUCAUAUAACAGAACACAGAUUUAUUCUCCACUCCACGUGGCCACUGUCAGAGGAUAGAGGAGGUGUGGCAUCAGUGAUUCAAGACUGUAUUUUCUGCCAUCUUUCAGUGCCUCUUUCAGCAAUAUGGAGCUAAAGCCAUGUACCGUGAUUGCUCACCUGAUUUUUAGUUCCUAUGAAGAUGCUUUGUGUGUAAGUAUGUGCAGACAGAGUUAUUAAAUUGGUGUUCUUGCAGGGGGGACAAUCGGUGGAGCCUUCUAUUUGGCCAUCUUGUUCCACUCAUCUUGUUUUUAUUUCUUGUGGGUACAUACCUAGUAGUAAAAUUGAUGGACCAUAUGUAACUUUAUAUUAAAUAUUUGAGGAAGUGCCAGACUGUUUUUUAUAGUGGCUCUGCUAUUUUACAUUUCUUCCAGCAGUGUAUGUGUGCUCCAAACUUUCCACGUUGUUGACAACACUUAUUAUUGUUUUCUUUUUUUAUUAUUGUUUUCCCUUUUUUUAUUAUAGCCAUGUGCUAUAAAUAUGCUCAUUGACUAUGUUAAUUUUUUUGAUAAAUAUUUAUUUAAUUCCUUUGUCUAUUUAAAAAUACUGUGUUAUUUGGCUUUUUACUGUCAAGUGUUAAGAGGCUUUUAUGUAUUUUAUAUACAAAUUCCUUACCAAAAUUAUGCUUUCAAAACAUUUUCUCUCAUUCUUUGGGUUGUUUUUCACUUUUAUUAUGAUAUUUUUGAAGCAUAUAAACUUUUUAUUUCUGAUAAAGUCCAAUUUAUUAAUAGUUUGCUGUGUGUGCUUUGAAGUCAUACUGCAUUUUCACUAAAGGUCAUAAAGAUUUAUUCCUGUGUUGCUGU
rnacentral:lncRNA from 10 species